AGAAGGUGAAGAGAAAAGAGAGAGCAUAUAAGAUAUACAUAAAAUAUAUAUUAUUUAUAAGAUUGCCCUAAUAAUUUAUUAUAUAUAUGAAGGAGACGAUGGAAGGGAGAAUUGAAAUGGAGAUUAGGGCACAAGUUUCCUUUAACUUAGGGGGCAGUGCUGCUUGAACCUCCUGCUGGACAAGGACGAGCAGGGAUAACACUGUGAACUUCUUGCACAACGUUGCAUGAAAGAGUAAUAUUACAAUCGGACACCAACCAGUUUGAAGCUGAGCGGCACAAAACAUCAUCGGAGGGUUGCAUGAGGUGUCGUGCUGCUGCGAGUGUUCCCUCCAUGAUGAAGGAGAAAGAAAUAGUAAUCACAAAAGCUAAAAUCAUCAAUUUCUUAUACAUAUCUAUCUUUUCUUCAAUCUCUG
rnacentral:lncRNA from 1 species